UUCAUGAUUGACAGUCUCUAUCAUUUACAUAUCGAUGUAUCUGUGAAUGUUACCGAGCAAGAAGUGAGUGCCAAAGGAUCCAAAAGAUCCAGAGAUGAGAUAAACCAAAAAUAUUUGUGGCACCUCAGACUUGGCCAUAUUGGAGAGGAUAGGAUGAACAAAAUGGAUAAAGAUGGGCUUCUCGGCUCAUUGACUUCCGA
rnacentral:lncRNA from 1 species